GAAAUACAGAACCCUAGGCCACUCCAGAUCCCAGGCUCUUCUCUGAACCUCAAGAACGGAAAGCCCGAGUACUACAAUUCACAGAUUCCCUGGCUAAAUUCCACCAUUGAAAGAAAUUGACGUAAGCUUUGGAAGACAAAAGAGAAGAAAAGCAUCUUCUCCAGCUUCAGCAGACACAUAAGCCUUGGAAGCAAGCAGACAGCAGAUGUGGACUUUUGCCCAUGAUUUACAAGGCUACAGGCAGCCCAGACCAUAGCUGGUGGUUUCCAGCAAUCUCUGAAAUUUACAUUUCUUGAAAGCAUUCUCACCUUUGGUCUCCAGACUCCAAUCUUUACAUAGACCUCCAAUUCCCCACAUGAAACCUCUUCCAUCUUGAAAUACUUAAAAUGUCUUCCAUUUUCCUAACUAAAUACUGACUAGAACAGUGACAAAGUGAAUCCCCACUUUUCAGGUUUGCUUUGGCUCUGAGUAUUGCCUGCAGGAGCUCUGCAGCAAGCAAGGCCCUCCACGUUCUCAGCUCCAUCCAUACUCCAGCCCCAACUCCUGCCACUCUAGCCACAUCAAGAGCUGAUAGCUUACCAGAACGUCACAUUAGGUCUCAUUUCCAUGUCUUCUCUCAUUCUGCCUUAUAAUUCCUUCUUCCUCUUACUCUCCCUUGGCUAACUCAUGCUGCUUGUACAAAGCGCUACAAAAAGCUUCCUUCCUUCUCAAUGAAGUUUUCUCUGACCUUUCCCCACACUGUUUGUGUGUCCCCACUCUGUGUUCCCACAGCAAUCCAAUAUCUCUAUCACUGGACUCAUCACAGCCUAUUUAUGUUUUUAAAUGUAGGCUUACAUAUGCUAAUGUAUCUAUGUUCUCCUUGGGUGAGGAAACCUUGUUCUCUAUCCCCAGUACCUAACACAGAGUAGAAGGCACGUAGUAGAAAUUCACAGAAUACUUGGUAAAUAAACAAGUGAAAGAGCAAUUCCUCACCAGCUUCAGCAGCUUAAGGAUAAAGAAUCUUGCAUCUAAAGAGGACAAGGUCAUCUCAGCAUUUGACACUAUGUUCAGGUCUAGACCUGCACUGCCUAAUACACAGUGGUCACUAUCCCCAUGUGGCUACUUAAAUUUAAAUUUAAAUUAAUUAACUAAAAUUAAAUGAAAUUUAAAAUUUAAUUUCUCAAUUACAUUGGCCACAUUUUAAGUGCUUAACAGCCACAGAUGGCUAAUGGCUGCCAUAUUGGGCAGCCCAUUUCCAUCAUUGCAAAAUGUUCUACUGGACUGUGAUGGUUUCUAAAAUUAGCAGAACAGAAGAAACACUUUCCAAGGCAGAGCUAGUAAAAGUUCUCUCAUCUGCAUACAUGCGUAGAUGAUACAUUUUUACAGCUAACUCAGAGACAAAAUGACCAGCCAGAAGACUCAGAGACAAACACUAAGGAAGUGGGUUCUAGCAAGGGAAUAAGAAUCUCAAUGCUAGCUAACUUUUUUUGGGCAGUUAGUGUGUAAAAACCCUUGUAAUAAGUACUUCACACAUACCUUAUUUAAGAAGAAUGUAAGUAAAUACUGAUCUGCUAUCCCUUAUCUACAAUUCCAAAAUCCAAAAAGCCCUGAAAACCAUUUACUUUUUAGAUAAGUUUUGCCACAAACUCACUUGGCAGUAAAAUCUGACCUGAAUUUGAAUUGCUGUGAGCCUAUUCCUAAUCUUUAUUUAGCAUGAAUUGUCAUUUUGCUGCAGAAAUAUUAAUAGGUUACAGGAUACCACCCAGACCUCACCUUUGCUGGUAGUUUAAUGUAAAAUAGGGCAUAUGUGCUAUUUCAUUUUUCUAAAAUCUGAAAGAAUCUCAAUUCUAAAAUACAUUUUGCCCUAAGUGUUCGGAAAGCAAUUUUGGACCUGUAUUUUUAUUUUCUUAUUUUACAAAUGAAAAUACAAAACUCGGAGAAGUGAAGGUAUUUGCCCCAAUUCACAGAGACAGUAAGGGAGAAGCAGGGGUUCUAACCCAUCUAUGCCCAAAGCCCAGCCCUUAACCACUAAUUAACACUGCCUCUCUCAGCUACAAAUGCAACCAGUGUGCCUCUGCUACAAAUGUAUAGCAAAGGCCCAGCCACCAAUUCUGGAAUUAGGGUAAAAACUACACAUUCCAGAGAGUACCUCAGGACCCUAACCAGGCCCUAUAACCACAACCGAAACUGACUGAAUUAGAGUCACCAUUUGCCCAGCACAAAUGGAGGCAAUGUGGGUUUAGUAUUUGUGGUAUUUCAAAGGAAAAUGAAUCCCGAUAUCAAGUUCUCCAAUACAUUGCAGUAAUUAACAUUUUCAGAAUCUAGCUAUUUAAUUUAAAACACCUCAGGAUAGGGGAUCCUCAAUAAAAGCGAAACAAAGGGAAAAUUCCCCAUCCGGAGAAGCACUGCUUUCUUAAUCACAGCUGAGAGCAAAGGCUCCCUCGUGCUGAAAGAGGCCAACCCAGUUUCCUUUUUCAUGAUCCUGCUAAAAAAGAGGAUGCUAGGGAAACCCUCAGGGAUCCCUAGAGGCCUGGCUGUCAGCUUCCAGAGGGCAAACUCUGAGGGCCCAUCAAACCACUGGCAUGAAUCAGUAGCCACGCCAGUGGCAUGGCUCAUAGGCAGAUCAAUGAUCAACAAUCCAGGAUCCAGGCAUCCUUGGGUUUUGUUAAGAAAUCACUAUAAACCUGGGGAAGAACACCAGUGACUUCAGCAAUAUAAUGCAGCAUGGGUAACUCUCUAUCUGGAAAUGUUUAAUUAGUUAAUGAGUUUGGGGAGCAGCUCUUCUUAGGGAUAAUUAGUUAAGGUUUAACAUAUGAGACUGCAGAAAAUUCUCAUUAGUAGGAGUCAGCAGAUUUCCCUUCUCUUUGAUGGCCAAUCAGAAGCCCUUAUAGUGUGCCUACGAAGUGCCCUCCUCAAUGCUCACUUUAGCAGUAUGUUUCCAAAUUCUUAGCCGAUUAGACUCUGAGACAAAAUGGGGACUAAAAACCCUUGCAAUGGGGUUUAAUGCAUGAACCUAGGUAGGGGCUGGUUUUGGCUGAACUGUCUGGGACUUAAACUCCCUUUUCACAACUUACAUCUUGGGCUCCCAGUGAUGAGCGCACAGUAGAUUGGUACUCCUUGACACCUACUGCUGUAAAAGCAUUAGAGAAAAUUGUUGAUCCACACUUAUCAUAGAACAAAGGAAAUAUGCCCCUGUGGCCUGGACAAAGAGAAAGGCUGCCUGAUUCUCAUUUAACCAGGUUGGUGCCAUAAUUCCAGGAAAAGAUCCAAAAGCAAUUGCUGCCGCCUCACACCAUCUGGAAUGUCCUUUACCCCAAAAAAGCAUCAGGAAGACUCACAAAUCACUCAUAUACAUGCCCUUGGGUGCUCUGCAGAGGGAAAUGACUUCAAAAGAUUAGAUCAGCUGAUACUUCAGAAAGCCAUUUGUUCCAGAUAAAUGCAAAUUAUCUACCCCACACAAAAGGUUCAGACUCAGACAUGAAGAUAAUGACCAUGGUUAACUCCAAGGAAAGAAGCUGUAUCUCUCACCUGUAAGGACUAUCCUCUUAAGGUCAAUAGAAGUCAGUUCUGCACGAUUCUGAACAAGGGCCUGUCUCAGAAAGCUGCCAUCAUCAGUGAUUCUGCCUGGUGUCAGCCAAAGUGAGAGCCCCAGGAGAGAAAACCAAAGUCACUGCAAUGAACUCAUGCUUAACUGGCAAUGUCUUAUUCUAAGCAAGGCGAAAAUUUUUAAACAACACAAAAACUAAGGGAUAUGUACUUUUAGCCAAUAACUAGCUUCUUUUUUCUGUACAAAGUUUUUGAGCUUCUGACACCAUACUGCUAAGAUAAGAAAGGAGAGGUUGGAAGAUGCUGGGGCUUUGAGGUUCAGAUCAUGUGGUCUACAGAGUGAGAUGUCCCCCAUUUCUAUCCUUCCAGACUUCCAAGUAACACCAUAGACCCAGGUUGUAAGCUCUUCUGAACCAAAACCAAAAAUUUAGAAACAUUCAGGCACAUAGUGCUUGCAACUAUGGCUUUCAAAUGGUGGUGUAUAGAAUGCCCUGGUGUAGGAGUAAGAAUCCACCGAAGGAUCAUGGCAAGUCUCCCAAGCUCUUCAGGUCUCAGGUUCUUUAUUACAUGAGGAGUAUGCAUGAUUAACAACACAAACUUUGCAGCCAGAUUUCUUAGGCUCACAUCUUGAUUUUGUUACUUACUUUGUGACACUGGACAUAGAACAGUGCCUGGUUCAUAGGUAACUGCUAUAUACAUGUUGCUAUUAUUGUUAUCAGUAAACUGAGAAUGAAAACAUUGGUCCUUCCUAUACUACAGAGAAGUAAUAAGGGCAAAACAGAAUGAGAUGUUUGAAAAACAAGUUCAAAAGAGUGAAGAAAUCACUACAUAAGCAAAUUUCCUAUUAUGUUUCUUUUUUAUAACACAUCCUACUACUAUGGUAUUUCAUUGAUUCUAAGACACAGAUUUUUUGACAUUUUAACAUCUCUGAAGUUGUAUAUACCUGACAAUGAGGGGACAUAAUUAAUUGGCAUUUUAUAAUUUUUGAAUGAUACAUAAAAAUAUGUUUUAUAAUUAAUUGUAUCUUAAGUUCAAUAAAAUAUGAUAGUAUAUUUCCAAUAAAUGUGAAUCAUUUGGUUGUUUCUGGGUUCAGACAUCCAAUCCUGCUCAUAAUCAUAAUUUUACUUUUUCUUCAGAUGCGCUUUUUAAAUUUCAAGCUAAUUUGGUCUAGGACUACUGGACUCUGAAGCAGAAGGACUGGGAUCCAAUCCCGAUCAAAACAACCACAGGUACAGGCUGGGGGGCAUGAUAAAAUAGCAAUGACAAUAAUAACAAAAACUCAUUUUAUGAAAAACACCUCUGAAAAAGAAUAGUUCAAAAUAAAUUUAAGUAUGCAUUAGGUGAUAAAAAUGGCGUUUUAAAUCCUUGGUGAAAGAAUGGACCUACCAAUCAAUAAACUGGUGUACAACAAAAGGCAGCAAAUUAAAGGGGGUGGGGAGGGCGCUUAGAGUUGAAGAACUACCUUACUGCUUACAGCAAAAUCAAUUUCAGGUGCAGAGGGAAAAAAAGUAAAGAGAACUUCAUCUUGCACCUUAAGUACCAGCACAGUCACAGGCAGGUAGAGCACUAACCAGGUUCUUGGGGUCCCCAAUUCCAGGACUUCACUCUUAGAUGGCAUUUUUGGACCUCCCUGGGCCGGAGAAGAGCCCACUGCCAUGAAGGAUGAGUCCAGGUCGGGCAGCAUUCAGCACAAGCUGACAGAAGGGCCCUUGGGCCUUAAGGGAACAUCAGUAGUAGUCUGGCAGUGCUCUUUGUGGCGUAGGGGGCAGGGGCUAUGGAGCAGGGCUCCUCUGACUUUGGAAAAGGGAGGAAAGAGCGGGAAAAACUGCGACCUGUGGUGUGAGUGCCAGCUCAGCCACAGUACAGUAGAACACCAGGUAGACUUCUAAGGUUUUUUACUCGAGUCCCUGAUUGCGGCACCUCUAGACCCACCUGGAACCUAGAGAACCUCACCACCCUGAAGGGAAGUUCACAGGCCUGGAUGGCUUUGCCACCAGUUGAUUUUAGAGCCCCAAUACAAUAAUAGCUUGAGACUUCAACACUCCACUUGCAGCACUGGACAGAUCAGAUAGGAAGAUUGUCUGGAAAGAUGAAAUUCAACAAAGAAACAUUAGACUUAAUCUGCACUAUAGGCCAAAUGGAUCUAACAGAUAUUUACAGAACGUGUCAUCCAAUGGCUACGGAAUACACAUUCUUUUCCUCAGCACAUGGAUCAUUUUCAAGGAUAGAGUAUUAUGUUAGGUCACAAAACAAGUCUUAAAACAUUUAAAAAACUGAAAUAAUAUCAUCCCAGCACUUCGGGAGGCUGAGGUGGGCGGAUCACAAGGUCAGGAGAUUGAGACCAUCCAGGCUAACACGGUGAAACCCUGUCUCUACUACAAAAAAAAAAAAAAAUACAAAAAAUUAGCCAGGUGUGGUGGCAGGCGCCUGUAGUCCCAGCUACUCUGGAGGCUGAGGCAGGAGAAUGGCUUGAACCCGGGAGGCAGAGCUUGCAGUGAGCCGAGAUCAGGCCACUGCACUCCAGCCUGGGUGACAGAGCGAGACUCUGUCUCAAAAAAAAAAAAAAAAAAAAAAAAAUUGAAAUACCAAGCAUCUUCUCUGACCACAAUGGAAUAAAACUAGAAAUUAAUAACCAGAUAAAUUUUGGAAACUACAUAAAUACAUGAAAAACAAUAUGCUCCUCAGUGACCAGUGGGUGAAUGAAGAAAUUAAGAAGGAAAUUGAAAAAAUUAUUGAAACAAGUGAUAAUGGAAACACAACAUACCAGAACCUAUGGGAUACAGCAAAAGCAGUACUAAGAGGGAAGCUUAUAGCUAAAAGUGCCUAAAUCAAAAAAGAGGAAAAACUUCAAAGAAACAAUCUAAUGAUGUAUCUUAAAAAACUAGAAAAGCAAGAGUGAACCAAACUCAAAAUUAGUGGAAGAAAAGAAAUAAUAAACAUCAGAACAGAAAUAAACGAAAUCGAAAUGAAAAUAAUACAAAAGAUCAGCCCGGGCACAGUGGCUCAUUCUUGUAAUCCCAGCACUUUGGGAGGCUGAGGCUGGGGGAUUGUCUGAGCUCAGGAGUUCGAGACCAGCCUGGCCAACAUGGUGAAACCCCGUCUCUACUAAAAAUACAAAAAAUUAUCUAGGCAUGGUGGCACAUGCCUGUAAUCCCAGCUACUUGGGAGGCUGAGGCAGGAGAAUUGCUUGAACCUAGGAGGCAGAGGUUGCAGUGAGCCGAGAGCAUGCCACCGUACUCCAGCCUGGGUGACAGAGCAAGACUCUGUCUCAAAAAAAAAAGAAAAGAUCAUUGAAACAAGAAGUUGGUUUUUUGAAAAGUCAAACAAAGCUGACAAAUCUUUAGCCAAACUAAGAAAAAAAAGAGAAGAUCCAAAUAUACCUUCAGUAUUGAAAAUGAUGCAAAGAUAAAAUACCUAGCAUAGCAAGUUGGCAUUAUAUGUGAAGGAACAGAAGCCACACAUGAUUAAAUUAUUUGCCAGAGAAGAUUUCUUGUAUUUUGGGCCGGUGUUUUCACUUUUAUGAUCUUCAGAACACUCACUGAACUCGUAUUUGGAGAGUGGUUGUGGUCUACAAAUUUUGUAAGUACAUGCUGUCCAUUUGGAAAACAAAACAAUCACAAGCAAAGGAGAUACAGAAUGAAAAGAAUUUGCAAUUUUUGCAGGGCACGGUGACUCACACUUGUAAUCCCAGCACUUUGGGAGGCUGAGGCAGGCGGAUCACUUGAGGUCAGGAGUUUGAGACCAACCUGGCCAACAUGGUGAAAGCUGUCUCUACUAAAAAUACAAAAAUUAGCUGGGCGCAGUGGUGUGUGCCUGUAAUCCCAGCUACUCAGGAGGCUGAGGCAGGAGAAUUGCUUGAACCUGGGAGGCAGAAGUUGCAGAGAGCCGAGAUUGUGCCACUGCACUCCAUCCUGGGUGACAGAGGGAGACUCUGUCUUUAAAAAAUUGCUAUUUUUAUAAGUCCUUUCUAUGGGACAUAAAUACAUUAAAGAAAACAUUUUUCAAAAGAAUCUUGGAAUACAAUAGACAUUUCUAAGUAUGACAAAAAUUCACAUAUGCCAUAAAGAAAAGAGCUACUAAAUUUAACUUCAUUUAUAUUUUUACAUUUCUGAAUGAAAAAAAUCAAUAGAUAAGUAACAAUGAAGGGUGGGGGUGGCAACAUUUAUGACAAAUAGCUAAUUUCCUUAUAAGUACAUGGUAAUUCUACAAUUUUCAAAAUCCAGCUCAGAAACAAGAAACAAGGCCAGGCACAGGAGCUUGUGCCUGUAAUCCCAGCACUUUGGGAAGCCGAGGCGGGAGUAGCACUUGUGGCCAGGAGUUCAAGACCAGACUGGGCAACAUAGCAAGACCCCCAUCUCUACAAAAAAAUUAAAAUAUUAGUGAGGAUGGUGGUGCACACCUGUGGUCCCAGCUGCCUGGGAGGCUGAGGCAGGAGGAUCACUUGAGUCCAGGAGGUCGAGGCUGCAGUGAGCCAUGAUUGCACAUCCAGCCUGGGCAACAGAGUGAGACUCUGUCUCAAAAAAAAAAAAAAAGAAAGAAAGAAAGAAAAAAGAGAAACAAGAUUUCAACUCUGCCACUGACUAGCUUUGUGAUGGUGGGUAAGUAGGUAAGAAGCUAGGGUUCCACUUCUGCUAGUGAGAGCUGGGCGAGAUUGUCCACAGAGUCUUCCCAGUUCCCAUACUGUGUGAUUGUCCGCAAAUCUCCAGGUUUGAAAAAGAGGCAAAUUAUGCAUUUAAAUGAAAUGGAAUUUUAUAAAGGAUACAACACAAAACAGAUUAAAAGACAGAUUGUUUGGCUUGAAUUCCUAAACAAUUACACUGCAAAGUACAAAAUGAGGCUUCUUGUUUGUAACUUAAAAUUUUUAAAGAACUUUUAUGGAUGAAAAGUACCAGAGAAUCUCAUGAUUAGCCUGUUCACAAGCUAACAAAUUAUAAAAUGUCUGCCUCCUUUUCUAGAGAGAAAUAAAGGGUCAUUCAGGGACUACCAGCCCUAGAGUUAAAAUUAAUUUCCAGUAAAUCUGAAAGGAGAGCAACAUGUCCACUGAGUGGACCUACAAAAACCACAGAGGAAGUGAGAGCAGACAGCAGUUUUCCUUCAGAACAGUGGGGUUGUGAGGUCUUGGUAGGUUUGCUGUGCACAGAGCGCCCAUCACCUUCCCACCAAGCCUGAUUCACAAUCUAAGUGACUCUGGAGGACUGAGCAAGGAAGUGGAUUGGUCCCAGCUGGCUCCUAAUAGUUCACAAAUCUCUGAUGCUCUGCUUAACCCAGAGUCUGUCAUUUUUUUUCACUCCCAGGCUUUUCUGCAGACGCCAAACUCUAGGAGAAUCUCUUUUCUCGCACUGCUCCACAGCCUUGCUAACCCAUGACAUCAUUCCCACAGCCUUCUAUGGCUCCCUAAAGCUGCUCCUGUAAUCUGCUAACCCCACCGUUCCAGAACAGUGGCACAUCAAUAAAACCCAGCAGUUCUGUUAUUUGGGUUUCAUCAAGCUUUUCAGGAAAACCUUUUGUGGUGGACAGUUAGUAAAGGAAACAGAACAAAGAAAUAAAGCACCAGCUCAUUAGACCUGAAUCAGAGCCUAGAACCAAACUCUACUCACUUGGAAAGGGUUGGCUAGGGGGUCUUAGAAGUCUGCAGGCUCUAUAAAAAGGAAUGUUGCUCUUCAGACACUGAGCAGGGAAAUUUGUUGGUGGCAUUUCGUAGUCUAAUCCAAGCCCUAGGAUAUGGAAUUUAGGAGAGAACAAAAUUGUUCUAGGGAUGUGAGCCCCUCCUUACCUGAUAACAAUCCAAACCCCAGGGACUGACUUGCUCACUUGAGGCUGGCUGCUUUCCAAGCCCAGGACCUCAUCCAGCUUGCCUUCCCCUUUCUCCAAGAAAUUCUUCCUUGAAAGGAGAUACACUUUAGUGUAAUAGCUCUUUAGACAGAUAUUUAUCAAGGGUCUAUUCCUUACCAGGUAUCAUGUGCAAUGCUUUGGUGUCCACUACCCUAUUCCACAGGGAUCUACUUAGAGGCAGAAGCAGAGAAUUUGCUGAGACCUUACAAGAGGCUGCAGAGAAGCCUCUGAGAUGGGAGGUCCCAAUUUUACAAGUUGGGGCUCAGAGCAAGAAGACUCACCCUGUUCAGGACUUCUUUAAGGGAGGAUCAUGUUAAAAUGCAGACUCUCAUUCUACACAUCUGGAAUUGGGCUUGAGAUUCUUCAUUUCUAACAAGUUCCUGGACCACUCUUUGAUGAGCAAUGCCCUGACUCCUGGAGAAGAUGCCACCUCCUAUGGGCCACCCCUGCUUUGGUUCUGGUGGGAAGGGUAGGGCAUUGAGGGAAAGGGUGUGACUGCUGGAAAUGGCUGGUCCUCUUAGAGGAUCCUGAGUGAACACAUCCAGUCCCCUACUUUUUCCCAACUCAAUUCUCCUAAAGAGAUUUUUUUCCUUUUUAAUAAACCCAGUGGUUAACAACUAGCUUGUUAGUUAAAGGCCUGAGGGACACAGAGGGAGGCUCAUGCCCUACUACUCAGUUCAUUAACUGGAGUAACAACCAAUUUCAAGGUGAUUAUUGCUAUUAUAAGCUCUGAUCAAUUUUUUAAACGUUUCCAGGUUUUAAACCUAAAGCGGGAAUAUUAGAGCUCAGAGAGCAGCUGUGUUGAGAAUUAGUCAUAUCCCCAGAUUAAUAUCUGAUCUCUCCAUCAAAGAGAAUACAGGACACAUUUAGUUAGGGUUCUAAUUGUACCUCCAAUAAACCUCCACCACAGUGAAAUAUGAGUGCCCAUAAUUUUUAGUUUCAACUUCCUAUAGAUAAUCCAUCUGACUGGAUGGUCUUGAGCAGAGGCAGUUAAAGCAAUUUGUUUCACUUAUAUAAAGAAAUAAAUCAGUGCUUAAUUAUGUGAGGUUUAUUAUUAACAGUGCUGGCAAUCUGACCAUAUGCCAUGACUUCAUCUUUUUACAUCAAGAAAAAAUAUGAGAAUAUACUGAUUGCUUUUAUGAUGGCUGUGCCCACUCCAGAGUGACGCUUGUGGCACACAAUGUGACCCAAUGAGGAGGAGGAGGUUCUACGUGUUCACACUGUUCUCAGUAUCCAGCUGUGGGCCUAUGAUGCAUGCAUAAUGGUCAAUGAACAGUUGCCACUGAGAAGAGGCAGGAAAACUUCACAUCAUCCUUAGUACUGCUUCCCAUCAUGAGAACAAGUUCAUCAAAUCUUUUUUUCUCCAGAAUCUUGAUGUCUUUCCUAGACCAGCAUUAAAUCACCAGCAUGCAACAGAAGAGAGGUCACAGAUUUGGUGUCAGAAAUGUCAGGAUGGCCAACGAUACACAAAUGGAAAUUGUUGAAGCAGAUUUCCAGGAAACCUCCUUGAGGGAGGCACAGACAGCUGGCAUCUCCUCCUGUCACCCUUUCCUCUUCCCUGUACUCCAUUCCUGAGUAUAGAAGUGGUAUUGGAAACCCAACAAUCAGAUGGAACCAUAAGGCAGCCCUGGGGAUGAAAGCCAUGUGCUGAGGAUGAAGGGACAGGAAGAUGGAAAGAACCUGGGACCCUGAUGACACCAUAUUAGCCUAGAGACUGCCUUUCUCUGGUCUUCUAUUGCAUGAGGGGCAAAAAAAAAAAAUGUAAGUUAUGUAAGUCACUGUUAUUACCAAUCUAUGUUACUAGUAGCCAAAUGCAACUAUUUUUUGCAUUUUUAUACACACCCCAAGCAGACUUGCGCUAUGCACAAAGGACCCUGGAAGAAAAGUAUUCCAUAUCUGUGCUAAAAAUGCAAAGGACUAAGCUUUACCUACCCCAAAUAAACUAGUAUGUUACUCAUACAUGGCUGAAAAUGUAGAUAUUCCUUCCAGAGAGAAUAAUUUAUUUAAUUUUAUAAUAUUCUGGACUUGCAAUAAAUACCCCAAAGGCAUACCUUCUACAAGGUCUCUAGCUUAAUUGGGUCCACGUUCUGAAGCUUAUGAAGUCACCAGUCCUAAAAUAGCUCUGCUUUUCGUCCCUCACCAAGACAGUCUUAAACUCUUUACUAGACACUAUAGCAAAAUAAAACAUGCUUGAAAACAUUAAGGGCUGAUGAACUGGUUUGGAUUUUCUCCAAUCCUCUAGACUUUCUCUCCUUCCCAUAGCUCUAAAAGAAAGUCCAGCCACUUUGAAAUGAAGACAUUUGAUUUGGGGCCACCACACAUUGAUUUAUCUAGCAGAAGGUGCUUGCAUUUUUCAAGCCAGAGCAAAGAGCUUCCAUACCACUCUACUAUCCCCUUGGUGAGGUAUGAUGGUUCUUGGCUGCCAGAUUAAAUAGAAAUACAGUGUCUCAUUUCUGGUUCCCAUGAAGAGGCAACUGAGAUGGGCUGACCUGAGAAAAGAACCAUUCUGCAAUAGAGAAAUAUAUUAACCAAGAUAAAUUCAAAUCCUAGUUUGCCUCACCAUAUCUCAUUUUAGGUACCUAGAAUGGAAAAAAAAAAAAAAAGAAUUCAUCUCUUUUUUUGUGGGGGGAGGCACUGUCUUGCUCUGUCAUGCAGGCUGGAGCAUAGUGGCUCAAUCAUAGCUCACUGCAGCAUCGACCUCCUGGGCUCAAAGGAUCCUCCUACCUCAGCCUCUCCAGUAGCUAGGACUACAGGUUUGCACCACCAUGCCUGGCUUUUGUUUUAUUUUUUAUUUUUUUGUAGAGAUGGAAUCCCAUUGGGUUACCCAAACUGGUCUCAAACUCCUGGCCUCAAGUGGUCCUCCUGUCUCAGCCUCCCAAAAUGCUGGGAUUACAAGUGUGAGCCACCAUGCCCAGCCUCAUCUAAACUUUAAUGAGAUAUUUGAUACCAUUCUACACAAUAUUUCUGUCUUAACUUUGCUUACCUUAUAUUGCUGACAUAACAUGGAUUGACUAACACUUAACAAGUAGAAAUUAAUUGUUCAACAACCCUCAAGAUAGUAAACAGACUAGUCUUCUGAAGUCUGUUCUCAUGUUAUUUAAAAUCUUUAUAAAAUAAUAAAUAAAUAAUUGAUAUUUUACAUAUACAGAUGCAAUCGAUGGGUUGGACUUGUUCAUAUCGAAAAAAAGGAGAAAUAAAAUGUAAAUGCCUUCAUUUAAUUAGUAAAUAUGGCUCAUUUGAGCACAGGUUGGUAUUUAACAGAGAACGUGCAAAGAAAUGCACAAAAUAAAGACACUGACAGAAAAGAAACACUUGGAGGGAGAGGGAAAGGGGACUAUUAGCUUCUCUGAAUUCUCCAAAGAUAAUAUAAGAUUAUGGUAAAUGAACUCCACCAGCUAGCUAGCAAUCCUUUCCCAGCAAAAGUGACAGGUUAAUCAUUCUAUUUAAUAUCAAAAGCCCACCCUGAAAGCUCAAAGUUCCGAAUCUGGGAGUAAGCAAUGCAGAACUCCAUUUCCUAGCUCUAGAACACCAAAAGGCAAUCCGUGGGACUAAGUAGACCACUAGCAAAGAAUCCCAAUCCUGCCUUCCACAGUCUCCAGCCAGGACUUAACGAGCCAUGAAUUUUCACCACAAAGUAGAUUUCUUCAUUAAAUAGCUAAUUAAGCUCUUUUGAAAAAGUGAUUUUCAACAGAGCUGAUAAAUUCAACCCAAAUUGGUGCAUUAACUAAUCAAAGCAAGAGACUUCUGCUCAAAAGUACAAACCGAAAGGCUUACAAUUCCCACCUCCUCACAUACCUUCAUUCAUUCAUAGAUAGACCGAUAAUAGACAGAUAGAUAGAUAGAUAGACAGACAGACAGACAGACAGACAGUUAACCUGUUCCUAAAUGUGAUUAAAUAAGGACUUGGAACCUGAAAUCAUGAAUUUAGGAGAAGCUAUCUCAGUCCAAUUCACACUGGAGAGUAUGGAAAGAACCCAGCCAACCUCUGCUUCCUGGGCUGAGUCCAUUUCCAGGUCAGCUUAGCACCUUGUUAAGUUGUCUAGAUCUUGAUAUUCAUGGGAUCAGUAAAUUAGUAACCCCCUGCCUUCACUUAGAAAUCACAAAGUAGGACUUCCAUUAUAUUCAUCUUUGUGUUCCUUAGAAAUCCUGGAUUUUCCAAAACUGUAAUUAUGUGUUCAAUCAUAUGCUCAGAAAUGACAGCAAAGGCCAGGCGCGUGGCUCACACCUGUAAUCCCAGCACUUUGGGAGGCUGAGGCAGGCGGAUCACCUGAGGUCGGGAGUUCAAGACCACCCUGACCAACAUGGAGCCUCUACCAAAAAUACAAAAUUAGCCAGGUGUGGUGGCACAUGCCUGUAAUCCCAGCUACUAGGGAGGCUGAGGCAGAAGAAUCGCUUGAACUCGGGAGGCAGAGGUUGCAAUGAGCUGGGAUCGCGCCAUUGCACUCCAGCCUGGGCAAUAAGAGUGAAACUCUGUCUCAAAAAAAAAAAAAAAAAAUAGAAAUGACAGCAACAAUUUGAAAUGAUGUAUUUUCUAGCACUUGAUUCUUAGCCCUGUCCCUACACACAAGCAUAUUAUGUCUUACCAAACUACAUAGAAAAUAGGUAGUCCACCUUCACCUUCUAAUACCAUUUUGUUUUAGAUUACAUAUUUUAUGCAUAUAAUUUCAAAUUUUAUGAAAAUUAUAGAAAUAAUUUGCAAAUUAUCGGAAAACAUACAACAAAGGAAAAAAGAAAAACACAAUUCCCUUGAUCAGAGAGCUAGACCCUAGACCCUAUUAACAUUUUGGUGUUUCUUUUGUCAGUCAUGUUAGAAAUGGUAUGGACAUAUAUAAUUUUUAGAAAAAAUGUAUACUACUUUGUAGCUCACUU
rnacentral:lncRNA from 10 species